ensembl:lncRNA
UGGAAACACUGUCAGGACAGGUUUUGAUUGGUGGGCUUCAAGCAUUUAUGGUACAAUUCUAAAUAUUUGUGACAGGGUUCUAAACAUUUAUGAUGAAGUGGGGAAGGAAUUUUAACACUGGAACUUCCUGAAUGGCAGACCCCUGGCUUCUGAUAAGAGUCUGACUUUUAAGUUGCAGUCAUGUCCUGGUCCUUUGGUUCUUGGGGGAGGAGAAUCUUUGGUUCCGCAGUCAUUUCACGUCAAGAUUUCUUCUUCUGCACAAUGCUCUGGCUCCGUGACUUCGCACAUUUUCUGAAAGGCAAUUCUUAAUCACUCUGUUGAUAAGAGAUGGGAUCAGCUGAACUGGCAUCAGGAUGAGGAGGAGCUGGCAGACGAAAAAGAGGGGAAGAACAUGUGAAAAUACUUGGAGGAAGGAGAAAGAGCAUGGCAUGUGCUAGGAUUUCAUGGCAUGGCAGAGUAGGAGGCUGAGUACAUGUAGAUCCCAAAGGAAGAAUGAAAUGGGUUGAUAUAAGCACACCAAGUUUGGUCUUCCGGAAUGAAAGUCGCUCCUCUUUCCCUGGAAGGAGUAAGGAAAGGGAUGGAGCAAGAGGCUUGGAAUGUUAUUCUAAUGGCAGUCCCUCUAUGCAAAAAGAUUAACACUACAGACAAUUCAGAUCCUGGGCUCCUGGGAAUCCUAUUAAAACACACCAGAGUAAGUCAUUAACGAUCUGCCUGCAGAAAAGCGAAGCUGUGCCUCUCCUGUCUGGGACCCUCUUUUGUGAUAGAGCCUUGUCCAAUGGUGUGGAAUGAUGUGCCAAAACUUGGAAGAAAAUUGAGUUCUCCCACAGGAACUCUGGGCUGAUGGGGCAGUUCACGGUCCUGAAUGAUGUCUCCACAGUGGGGAACAGCUGGGACACUGUCUCUUCCCAACACUUCCACUGGGCUGCAGGAUGGGGGAUCAUGAUUAAACCUGGAUCAGUGGAAGAUGGUGGCAGUCCUUACGUGGCUACUCAGCACCUGAUCUGUAGAGAUAAUCAAGAUAAGUGACUUUAGGCAAGAUACAUGAGGUGGGGAGGUGAAGAAAUGACGCUCCUGCCUCUGCAGCUAUGAAGGAAGGCCAGGUAUAUCUGUCAUGGUCGUCAGCCACCUCCUGCGGAGGGAGUUCAGAGGACAAGGGAGGUAAUGGGCUGUUUAGACUUGGAGCCUUCCAAAAGCUGAAGACACUGAUGUUAACAACUGCUGAUGAGUGGCUGGGAAAGGCUGAAGAUUUUACUUUAAAGAACCUAAGCCUGCACGUCAGUUUUUCAUGUUAGCUGGCAGCGUUCCUGAGCAGGACUGGGAUCACACGCCAGUGCAAGCGGAGCACCUGGCUGAGAACACUGUGCAGUGGUGACAGAAGGGAAGUAUUUGGGAAAAUGAGUUGCAGACUUCAAGGAGACAUACCCUAUACCUGAGCCAUGAACAAGGCUUCUGGCCCCAGAGGCCUUCAACCCAGCAAGGGAGGUCUGGAGGGAGCUCUCCAUUUGAAUCUGGCACAGUGACACAGUGAUCCCUUCACCUCCCUCAAUGGGAACAUUAGAGUGGAUAGUCUCUUCUGGUCCUCUCUCUGGUUAUCAGGCAUAAAGGGUGGGGGGGUCGUGAUUGGCUCUGGAUGUGCCCAGAGGUCUCUUGGCUGUCCUCAGAGCUCUGCCAGGUGUGCCUUAAGUUAAAGAGAGCACAGAACGUGAACUCAUGGGGUGGGGCCACCUGGGGCCUCCUGGAUCAGCCCUUGCCGAUGCUGCAGAAUGAGGUGACUCAGCUCUGAGACCUGCUGAGUCAGAGAUGACUAUCUUUGCAGGUCCCUGUAACAAGUGCAGCAAGAGACACAAAGAGACUGAAUUCUGUUUCUAUUGAUCCCUCCUCCACUCCCCCAUCCUUUCUCUUUCCCCUCCAGCUACCUCCCAAAUCGCGCUUUCUCAGACCCUGCCUCCCCUCUACAGAGAUGCCCACUGGCUCGACUGUGUUCUGGAGUUGUGCAUAUGCCAGCCCUCUGCGUGGUCCAGUGCCGAUCUAGACAAGCGUCCGCACAUGGUUGUGUAUAGUGUUCACCCUGGUGUGCGUGUGAAUACGUGUGUGGGUGUGAUCUAGAUAUAUAGGUAUCGAGGACCUA